rnacentral:rRNA from 1 species
UACGGGGGGGGCUAGCGUUGUUCGGAAUUACUGGGCGUAAAGGGCGCGUAGGCGGUCUGCUAAGUUGGAUGUGAAAACUCUGGGCUUAACCCAGAGCCUGCAUUCAAUACUGACAGGCUAGAGUUCUGGAGGGGAUAGCGGAAUUCCUGGUGUAGCGGUGAAAUGCGUAGAUAUCAGGAGGAACACCGGUGGCGAAGGCGGCUAUCUGGACAGAGUCUGACGCUGAAGGCGCGAAAGCUAGGGGAGCAAACAGG